CAGCCGCCGCGGUAAUACCGGCGGCCCGAGUGGCGGCCACUAUUAUUGGGCCUAAAGCGUCCGUAGCCGGGCUGGUAAGUCCUCCGGGAAAUCUGGUCGCUUAACGAUCAGACUUCCGGAGGAUAAUGCUGGCCUAGGGACCGGGAGAGGCCGAGGGUAUUCCCGGGGGAGGGGUGAAAUCCUGUAAUCCCGGGAGGACCACCUGUGGCGAGCGCGCCCGGCUGGAACGGGUCCGACGGUGAGGGACGAAGGCCAGGGGAGCGAACCGGAUUAGAUACCCGGGUAGUCCUGGCGGUAAACGAUGCGGACUAGGUGUCGGGCAAGCUAAGGGCUUGUCCGGUGCCGCAGGGAAGCCGUUAAGUCCGCCGCCUGGGGAGUACGGCCGCAAGGCUGAAACUUAAAGGAAUUGGCGGG
rnacentral:rRNA from 1 species